rnacentral:rRNA from 1 species
UACAGAGACUGCAAGCGUUAUUCGGAUUCACUGGGCGUAAAGGGUGCGCAGGCGGCCAAGUGUGUCAGGUGUGAAAUCCCGAGGCUUAACCUCGGAACUGCGCCUGAAACUACUUGGCUAGAGUACUGGAGAGGGUAACGGAAUUCACGGUGUAGCAGUGAAAUGCGUAGAUAUCGUGAGGAACACCAGAGGCGAAGGCGGUUACCUGGACAGUUACUGACGCUCAGGCACGAAAGCGUGGGGAGCAAAAAGGG